rnacentral:tRNA from 1 species
AUUGCUUAAGUAUGGGUUUGUGUAUGGUUUUUUUUCGUGAAGCAGGGGUAUUUUGGUACAGGCAAUG